rnacentral:tRNA from 1 species
GGUCCCAUCGUCUAGUGGCCUAGGACACCACCCUCUCAAGGUGGAGACACGGGUUCGAACCCCGUUGGGACCACCG